AGUCCGGGUCGCGGAGACUCAGGGAACUCGUUGACUCCAAAGCCUCCGCCCCCAGCCACUUCCCGGACUCCGCAGCUGCGCCCCGCCGCUUUGUCGCCACUAGGGCUGUUCCCAGAGAGGGCGUCUGCUUCUCUGUGCUGACUUCUGAGAGCCCAGCUGUCCUGCAGCCUUGGCGGCGCAGAGAUCUUUCUGAAGUCUCCACUCGGACCACACCAACGAAGGCGCGAGUGCCACCGUUACCCCACUUCACAGACGAGGAAACUGAGGCACGGGGUGAAAUGACUUGGGCAGGGUCACACAACGGUCGAGGGUCCACGCAGAGCUCCUAACCACGCGCGGCCUGUGGCUAGGGGCUAAACCUGGGUUUCCCGGUACGGACUGGAAUCCCGCCAGGCUGGGGCGAGGGAGCAGCGGGAACGCCUUCAGCACUCAGGACGCCCAGUGGAGACCGGAAGAGGCGAUCCUCUGGCUCCUCUGUGGCCACCCCUCGCCAUCCUCUGAGGGAGUGGGGAGGGCUGGCCGGCUUCUCUCCCUCUGGGUGCCCCCUGGAGAGGCGUGGACUUUUCGCUGGGAAAUAGGCUGAAGUGGGUCGAGCACGAAGAGUUCAGGCAGCACUGGAUCUCAGAUUCUGGCCCAGUGUUGGGUUGGUUUUCCCACUAAUCCCUUCAGCUAUGCUUUGCAAGACCAACACUGGAACAGAGGCGCCUAGCUUGAGGUGGAAACGGAUGCCUCCAAGCUGGGUAGUAACAGGCCACGGCUGCUGGGAAGCCUGCUUGGAGCUUAUUUUCCACAGAGGGAUCAAGGCCAGCCUCUCUUCAGAGGCAGCUUGUGAGCCCAGACCAAAGGGAAAAGAGAAACAGUUCAAGAAGAGCCCAAAAGAAAUCUCCAGUGGAAACCUGACAUGGUGUGCUUGCCUGAAAUCCCAGCCCUCAGGAGGCUGAGGCAGGAGGAUUGUCACAACCUUGAGGCCAGCUUGGGCUACAACAGUAAAUUCAUCCCGGACUAAA